rnacentral:rRNA from 1 species
GACGAACCGAGCGAACGUUGUUCGGAAUCACUGGGCUUAAAGGGCGCGUAGGCGGGUGCUCAAGUCUGUGGUGAAAUCCUCCGGCUCAACCGGAGAACUGCCAUGGAUACUGGGUGUCUCGAGGGUGGUAGGGGUAUGCGGAACUAUCGGUGGAGCGGUGAAAUGCGUUGAUAUCCACAGGAACUCCGGUGGCGAAGGCGAGGUGCUGGACCCCUUCUGACGCUGAGGCGCGAAAGCCAGGGGAGCGAACGGG